rnacentral:rRNA from 1 species
CUACGGGUUGCAGCAGUGAGGAAUAUUGCACAAUGGGGGGAACCCUGAUGCAGCAACGCCGCGUGGAGGAUGACGCAUUUCGGUGUGUAAACUCCUUUUAUAUGUCAAGAAAAUGACGGUAGCAUAUGAAUAAGCACCGGCUAACUCCGUGCCAGCAGCCGAGGUAAUACGGAGGGUGCAAGCGUUACUCGGAAUCACUGGGCGUAAAGGACGCGUAGGCGGGUUGGAAAGUCAGGUGUGAAAUCCUACAGCUUAACUGUAGAACUGCACUUGAAACUUCUAAUCUAGAGUAUGGGAGGGGGAGAUGGAAUUAGUGGUGUAGGGGUAAAAUCCGUAGAUAUCACUAGGAAUACCUAAAGCGAAGGCGACCUCCUGGAACAUUACUGACGCUAAGGCGUGAAAGCGUGGGGAGCAAACAGGAUUAGAUACCCUCGUAGUC